UACAAUGAUAUAGUCCAUUUUUGAAAAAGUUUACCUUAACAACAACACUCAAACCCUCUCUUUUUUUAAAUUUACAUUUAGUUUUCUGGCAACAUAUUUCUCACUGAUGUCAAAUUUGAAAUCCCUAUUUGACUUUUAUUUAACGUUACGUUUAUACAGUGCGUUUUUUCCAGGUUGAGAAUAUAAAAGUUGAGACUUCUUUUACUAUACAGAGAGACUUUAUUGAACUGGGGAAUUUACGUGUUCCAAACAAUGCCGACUGGAUAGCCAAUAGGCAGCCUUCUUAAUCUCCAUUCGUUACAGUACAUACAAUAGUAAAAAGUGACAGGCUUGGAUAAAUGCUGUAAAGGACUGUAAAGGAAUGUAAAAUUCGUCCAGCUACAAUACAGGCAAUUGGUUAUAAUUUUCAUGAGCUUAGUAUUAAUAAGUCUACCAUUCAACGAACAGAAAGUCGGAAGAAAUGGGAAUAAAAGACGAUUUCAACAAUAUGCCAGAAAUUUUCAAACUUCAUUGAGAUGGAAAGCUUUUCCCAGUUCUAGAUGGUUGAAGCUGUAAGGAGAAACGUCUUCCAAUUGUAAUCACAUUUGAAAAUACAGAAGAACUCAUUGUUUUGCCACAACUGAAAAAUUCGACAAGAAAUGAACAAGAACGGGCUGUUUGGAAUUUAAUUCGAAAAUGGAAUCUUGAAGAUUGUGUAAAAAUUCUUUGUUUUGAUACAGUAGUAUCAGAUUUCCUCUGAUUGCAGUUUUCAAGCGAAACUGGAAAUAAUUAAGCAAGAGGCAACUUUCGGGAGGGAUAAUAAUAACUCUCCAUAGCGUUCCUAGGUGGCGAUAUUUGAUGAGAACGAAAAUUAGGCAUACUGGGGCGAUGCAUAAAGCUCGUUGGAUGACAGCAGCAAUUUCCACCUUAAAAAUUGCAAUUAAAAACUCUCAGCUCAAGUUUACUAAACAAAAAAAAAAACAAAAAAAAACGCAUCUGUCUACGACCUGUAAUUUUUUCACAAUAUCUGCCUAAGUAAAUCCUAAGCUUCAAAGUU